UGUUAGUAAACUUAGCAUUGAAAUAAAAUGGAAAAAUACAUGAACGAUACAUCAAAUGAAGAGGUUAGAAAAAGCACGCCGCUGUAUUGUCAUAGAAAAAUGAUACUGAAGAUAGAAAUCCAGUCAAUUUUACAAGAUCAAACACAUGAUGAUAUUUGGGAUCGUUUCGUGAAGAUUGAUGGUUCAAAAUAAUGCAUUCGGAGUUAAUCCCGCUUGUUAAAUUUGUGGAUGAAUUACAGUCAGUAAAGAUGGGGAUUUGUCUUUUGAAUUUAAAAUCUUCACGAAUAAUGAAGUGCGAUGAAACGGUAGUGAGAUGAGACA